UGCUCCUGGGAUUCGAUGCGCUCACUGGCUAGAGUCGGAUAAGUCCCCCCUCCUCAUCUACAUAUCCUUCCCCACUUCCUCUUCCUCUCACUCCGGUUCCGAACCCUUACCUUUUGAUUCCCUAUCUCCCUUCCUCCUAUUUCCCCUCGCAAACCCCUGUGUGCAGAUCUGGGAGCUCUAGCUCUUUGCGCACUCCUCUUUGUUCUGCUUUGAGUCUGCCAUGCCUUGACCUGAUCCACCAGUUCUUGCUCUUCUAGUGCAGGUGCAGAUGCGGCCAUGGAUUCUUUGACCCAUGCCAAGGAACGCCCAUUGCAGCAGGCUUCUUGGGUUUGAGCAGCACCAUCUCUGGAAAGGGGAGUUGGAGACUCACUGUACCCACUGCACACUUACCAAAUAGAAGGGGAGAGGCCCCCAGUGCAAGUGGGUACAAAGGGGACUGCCUUCAUUCCAGCCAUUAUGAAGAUUCCAUUAGCAAGUUCUUAGGAUCAUCUCCUGCUGAAGGAACGAGGGUUUCUAUCCGGUUGCUGCUGCUUUCAGUUGUGUGCUCCAAGGACUUGCAGAGAUGCACCUGGUAAUUCCUCUACAAAGACACAGAAAAGCGAUAUAAAUAAAGGGUCCCCUCCAUCAACAAACAAGAAAGUUGCAAAGAAGCCAUUACUUGUGACAGUGGUGCAGCCAAUAGACAAACAAGAAAGUUGCAGUGACAGUGGUGCAGCCACCUCUGAUCAGAACAGGCCAAGUAAGGAUGCAUGAGGAGUGAAGCUCAUGUUGAUUUUUCUCUCUACCAAUUGUGGCCAGCUUUUGUGCAGCCUUCGUCUCCGGCAACAAAUGUCCGAUCCAUGGUGAUUAGCUUUUGGUUUCAAUUAGUAUUCAAAGCUACCAGCAGCUAGGUUAUUUGGUAGCUAUGCAUACUUUUUGUUGCAUGUUGAUUUAUGGUGGUCAGAUGUGUUGUAAUCUUAAUGCUCCAAAUGCCGGACAAACACCUGGUGAUAGGAUAAAUUGGUGCUCGGAUGUAUUGUGAUGUUGAUGAUUGAGAUGCCGGACAGACACAUGACGGAUAGGAUAAACUAAUACUUUGAUGUGUUGUAGUAUUCAUUAUUCAGAUGCCUGAUGGCUAGGAUAGCUUGGUGCUCGGAUGUGUUGUAAUAUUUAUGAUUCAAAUGUUGGAUAGACACCUAUCUUAACAUGAUAAGUGCA